AGUGAACGCUGGCGGUAGGCCUAACACAUGCAAGUCGAACGGCAGCACAGUAAGAGCUUGCUCUUACGGGUGGCGAGUGGCGGACGGGUGAGGAAUACAUCGGAAUCUACUUUUUCGUGGGGGAUAACGUAGGGAAACUUACGCUAAUACCGCAUACGACCUACGGGUGAAAGCAGGGGAUCUUCGGACCUUGCGCGAUUGAAUGAGCCGAUGUCGGAUUAGCUAGUUGGCGGGGUAAAGGCCCACCAAGGCGACGAUCCGUAGCUGGUCUGAGAGGAUGAUCAGCCACACUGGAACUGAGACACGGUCCAGACUCCUACGGGAGGCAGCAGUGGGGAAUAUUGGACAAUGGGCGCAAGCCUGAUCCAGCCAUACCGCGUGGGUGAAGAAGGCCUUCGGGUUGUAAAGCCCUUUUGUUGGGACAGAAAAGCAGCAGGUUAAUACCCCGCUGUUCUGACGGUACCCAAAGAAUAAGCACCGGCUAACUUCGUG
rnacentral:rRNA from 1 species